CCUACGGGUGGCAGCAGUGAGGAAUAUUGGUCAAUGGACGAGAGUCUGAACCAGCCAAGUAGCGUGAAGGAUGACUGCCCUAUGGGUUGUAAACUUCUUUUAUAAAGGAAUAAAACGAGGCACAUGUCCCUUUUGGCACGUACCUUAUGAAUAAGGAUCGGCUAACUCCGCGCCAGCAGCCGCGGUAAUACGGAGGAUGAGAGCGUUAUCCGUUUUUAUGGGGUUGAAAGGGUGCGCAGUCGGAAUGUCAAGUCAGCGGUAAAAUUUCGGGGCUAAACCCCGUCGUGCAGUUGAAACUGGCGUUCUUGAGUGAGCGAGAAGUAUGCGGAAUGCGUGGUGUAGCGGUGAAAUGCAUAGAUAUCACGCAGAACUCCGAUUGCGAAGGCAGCAUACCGGCGCUCAACUGACGCUCAUGCACGAAAGCGUGGGUAUCGAACAGGAUUAGAUACCCCAGUAGUC
rnacentral:rRNA from 1 species